rnacentral:rRNA from 1 species
AUACGAAGGUCCCAAGCGUUGUUCGGAAUUACUGGGCGUAAAGCGUGCGUAGGCGGCAUGGUAAGUCAGAUGUGAAAUCCCGGGGCUCAACCUCGGAACUGCAUCCGAUACUGCCAAGCUAGAGUAGUGGAGGGGAGUCUGGAAUUCACGGUGUAGCAGUGAAAUGCGUAGAUAUCGUGAGGAACACUAGUGGCGAAGGCGAGACUCUGGACACUAACUGACGCUGAGGCACGAAGGCUAGGGUAGCGAAAGGGAUUAGAUACCCCUGUAGUCCUAGCAGUAAACGGUGCGCGUUUGGUGUGGGCGGGUUCGACCCCGUCCGUGCCGAAGCUAACGCGUUAAACGCGCCGCCUGGGGAGUACGGCCGCAAGGCUAAAACUCAAAGAAAUUGACGGGGACCCGCACAAGCGGUGGAGUAUGUGGCUUAAUUCGAUGCAACGCGAAGAAACCUUACUGGGCUUGACAUGCUUGUCGUAGUUCUGUGAAAGCAGAUCGUCAGUUCGGCUGGACAU